rnacentral:rRNA from 1 species
GAUGAACGCUAGCUACAGGCUUAACACAUGCAAGUCGAGGGGAAACGAUAGAGAAAGCUUGCUUUUUCUAGGCGUCGACCGGCGCACGGGUGAGUAACGCGUAUCCAACCUGCCCAUCACUUGGGGAUAACCUUGCGCAAGUAAGACUAAUACCCAAUGAUAUCUCUAGAAGACAUCUGAAAGAGAUUAAAGAUUUAUCGGUGAUGGAUGGGGAUGCGUCUGAUUAGCUUGUUGGCGGGGUAACGGCCCACCAAGGCGACGAUCAGUAGGGGUUCUGAGAGGAAGGGCCCCCACAUUGGAACUGAGACACGGUCCAAACUCCUACGGGAGGCAGCAGUGAGGAAUAUUGGUCAAUGGACGAGAGUCUGAACCAGCCAAGUAGCGUGCAGGAUGACGGCCCUAUGGGUUGUAAACUGCUUUUAUAAGGGAAUAAAGUGAGUCUCGUGAGACUUUUUGCAUGUACCUUAUGAAUAAGGACCGGCUAAUUCCGUGCCAGCCGCCGCGGUAA